ACCCAGCUGACGAGCCCCAAAUAGGGCGAAACGCACGUCCAACUGAAU
rnacentral:hammerhead_ribozyme from 1 species